CCUACGGGGGGCAGCAGUGGGGAAUAUUGGACAAUGGGGGGAACCCUGAUCCAGCGACGCCGCGUGAGUGAAGAAGUAUUUCGGUAUGUAAAGCUCUAUCAGCAGGGAAGAAAAUGACGGUACCUGACUAAGAAGCCCCGGCUAACUACGUGCCAGCAGCCGCGGUAAUACGUAGGGGGCAAGCGUUAUCCGGAUUUACUGGGUGUAAAGGGAGCGUAGACGGUGCAGCAAGUCUGAAGUGAAAUGCCGGGGCUCAACCCCGGAACUGCUUUGGAAACUGUACAGCUAGAGUGCAGGAGGGGUGA
rnacentral:rRNA from 1 species